GCCGGGGUCGGCAGCCUGGAGCUCCGCUGGUCUAGGGCAACGAGCGGGGGACGCUUCGAGCCCGCAGCGAGAGUGACCAGCAUGGUCCCUGCCGGCAGCUCGGGGCCGGAGGGUUUUGACUGCAAGGCCAGCCCACGCCGAGGGUCCAAGCAUCGGGAUAUGCCGCCCGCACCUGGCCGUUGCAACAACGCGCUGGACGUGAGCGCUCCGCCCAACCCGAUGGCGUCAGCUGGCGCGCGCGCCCGCGACCGACGUGCGCAGGCGCCCACGGGCCGCGCAGCCGCCAUUGCUCUCCUGCCACGGAGGGGAGCGCUUGUUGGCAGUCCGCGGGCCCGGACGGAAGGCUGAGGCGACGCCUCGACGACAGCGGACCGGAGCUGCAGGGGCAACACAUUCAGGGCGGGGUGCCCCAUUUAGGCCUGGCUGACUGGAGUAAGAAACUACAACCCCCGAAGUGCAUUGCGCCUCAAGGUUACGGAGGCAGUGAUCACCCACCCUGGAGCCAUGGUCCACGCCUUCCUCAUUCACACCUUGAGGGCCCCGAAUACUGAGGACACGGGCCUUUGCCGAGUGCUGUACUCCUGCGUCUUUGGUGCUGAGAAGUCACCUGAUGACCCACGGCCGCAUGGUGCCGAGAGGGACAGGCUUCUCCGGAAGGAACAGAUUUUAGCUGUGGCCAGGCAGGUAGAGUCAAUGUGUCGGCUGCAGCAGCAGGCAUCUGGCCGGCCCCCCAUGGACCUGCAGCCGCAAUCCUCAGAUGAGCAAGUGCCGCUGCACGAGGCCCCACGCGGGGCUUUCCGCCUGGCAGCAGAGAACCCUUUCCAGGAGCCACGGACGGUGGUGUGGCUGGGCGUGCUCUCGUUAGGCUUUGCCCUGGUGCUGGAUGCCCAUGAGAACCUGCUACUGGCUGAGGGCACACUCCGGCUGCUGACACGCCUCCUCCUUGACCACCUCCGGCUGCUGGCGCCCAGCACCAGCCUUCUGCUGCGGGCUGACCGCAUUGAGGGCAUCCUCACCCGCUUCCUGCCACAUGGUCAGCUGCUUUUCCUCAACGACCAGUUUGUCCAAGGCCUGGAGAAGGAAUUCAGUGCCGCUUGGCCCCGCUGAUUCCUCGUUGGGAUGGUGCUUCUGAGGGCAGGCAGAGGGUAGACACACAGCCAGAUGAAGCUUGGCAUCUACCUCCUACCCAGCAGCUCUGAUGUGCUGCUAUACCAGGACAAGUGGGUGACACAAGCCUGCAGAAAGAGGGCUGGGCAGAGGGUGGAGGAGGUCCUGCCUAUCCUCAGGCGGAGUUUCUCUUUGUUGCCCAGGCUGGAGUGCAGUGGCGCAAUCUCGGCUCAUUGCAAGCUCCGCCUCCCAGAUUCACGCCAUUCUGCCUCAGCCUCCCAAGUAGCUGGGACUACAGGCGCCUGCCACCACGCCCGGUUAAGUUUUUCUAUUUUUAGUAGAGACGGGGUUUCACCGUGUUAGCCAGGUUGGUCUACAUCUCCUGACCUUGUGAUCCGCCCGCCGUGGCCUCUCAAAGUACCGGGAUUAUAGGCGUGAGCCACCACGACUGACUGGCAUGAAGUCACAGGUUUUAAGGCAGGAACUGGCCUGCAUGUAUGUGGGUCACUGAUUGGGAGGGUGGUGAGCCCUGGGAUGGGAUUGGAUCAUCGUGUCUUCUUUAGGGCAGGGUGUUUUUUUCUAGGCCUGUGGUGCUGCGCACUGUCCAGCAUCCCCCCAGGGCUCAAUGUUUUCUUUUCUUUUUCUUUCUUUUUUUUUUUUGAGAUGGAGUCUCACUCUGUUGCUCAGGCUGGAGUGCAGUGGUGCAAUCUUGGCUCACUGCAACCUCUGCCUCUUGGGUUCAAGCAAUUCUACCGCCUCAGCCUCCCAAGUAGCUGGGAUUACAAGCAUGUGCCACCAUGCGUGGCUAAUUUUUGUAUCUUUAGUAGAGACAGGGUUUCACCGUGUUGGCCAGGCUGGUCUCGAACUCCUUACCUCAGGUGAUCCACCCAUAUUGGCCUCCCAAAGUGCUGAGAUUACAGGUGUGAGCCACCAUGCCUGGCCUCAAUCUUUUCUUUUAAACAAUUAUUCCUAUAUUUUAUUGUAAUGCAGUUAACCGUGUUUGUCAGAUUCAAUACUCUGUGACCCGUUAACCAAGUCUCUGUAUGUUUAUUACUGCAAUUGAAGUGGCCGUGACCGUUUUCUUAAAUAUACUUUAUUUGUUUAGUGCAAUUUUAGGUUCACAGUAAAACUGAGCAGAGGGUACAGAGAGUUCUCAUUUACUCCCUGUCCCCACACAUGCACAGCCUCCCUUAUCACCAACACUGGGCACCAGAGUGGUCAUUUGUUACAACUGAUGGACCUUCAUUGACAUGUCACUAUCACCAGAGUCCAUAGUUUACAUUAGGGUUCACUCUUGGGGUGGUACAUUCUAUAGGUUUGGAUGUAUUUUCAGUGACAUGCAUCUACCAUUAUAGUAUCAUACAGAAGAGUUUCACUGCCCUAACAGUCCUCUCUGCACCUAUUCAUCCUUCCC